rnacentral:lncRNA from 12 species
GAGGCCAAGUCCAUCCCUAGAGGGCCUCGGGGUCCAAUGGAGAGGUUGAAAUCAAGAGGUUUAGAACAAUUGAGGCUUUUUUAAAAAAGAGUAAUAGUAGUUGUGUUUGGUUUUUUUUUGAGUGAUCUUAGUGUGCAGAAAACAGUGCAAAAAGCACACAGUUCCCGUGUCCCCCUCGCUCCCACCACUCUCUCCAGUUGCUAACAGAGGGCCCUGCCGUGGUGCAGCUGUUACAACCGACGGACCGAUGUUCGUGCGUUGCUGACGAGAACACGUGGUUUACUUCAGGGUCCCUCCCGGUGUCCCGCAUCCUAGAGGCCUGGACGACCGUCCGAUGUCGUGUGUCUACCGUGACCGCAUCCCGCAGCGUGCUCACGGCCUGCAGCUCCUCCGCCCGUCGGCACCCACCGAACCGCCACUGCCUUUCCCGGAGGGCCGGGUACUUGGAGUCACACGGUCGCAGCCCGGAGGACUUCCGAAAGGAGAGAUUUUAGGAGGACGGUGGAGGCGGUGGCCACAGAAGGGACUGGGACGGAGGGGCUGGAGGCCAAGAGACGGACGAGGAGCUUGUGGGACAAAGCAGGUGACAAGAGCCCUGGUGGGGGAGGCGCUGGAGCAGGGGUGCCUGCUGCGCGCUGUUAUCCGUGUCACGGUCCAGCCUGAGGUCUUCUGCGACGAUGAGGGGUUCGAGUCCCGGUGGAUGAUGUUGUAUAGCAGGGAACCAGAGGGCAACCCUGCAGCGCCAGAACUCUGCAGGCCCGGCCAGGUCCUGGGACUCCUGUGAUCAGUGGAAGACUUCUGCAGGCCGGCCCCGUGAUCGCCACUUGGUCCUGCUGCACAUCUCAGGAAGACGUCCCCUGGCCCCUCAGGGUUCCCAUCACCCCCUCUGAAAUCAGAGAGCCCUUCUCAGGGCAGCAAACCUUAGGCUGUCCCAGCAGCCCCUGGGGAUGGAGAGGGUGGAUAUUCACUUCAUCUCUCUUCAAGGACACUGGUGAUAACCUUGACAACUCCUCUCAAGCAGGUAAAGGGACUGUGUCCACCUGGAGGUGAGGGGGGGGCAAGGGGUGGAGGAGGGGACGGGUGUUGUGGAUUCUUUUUUUUUUUUUAAGAUUUUAUUUAUUUAUUCAUGAGAGACACACAGAGAGAGGCAGAGAGAGG